CUCUAUUCUUUAUUGAAAAAUCACUACAGAGACAUAUGGUGGUAGGCUCAAGCAUGGUGUUCUCCUGCUAUGAUGCGGCAACGAAUCACAGAUUUGGGAUUCAUCUAUCCCUAGGAACAUUUGGUCUAUUCCUCAUGGUGGAACGUCAUUUUAUAAGACUGUUUCACAAUCUCUCCAUGAAGAAAAGAAGUAUGGGGGUAAUGAAGUGGAGACAAAGGCACUGAAAGCUAAGAUAAGCAAAAUGGAGGAAGAAAUCACAGAAUGCAAGAAAUUAAUUGAACGAGCAGAGAAACAUAGGCCUUUAUGCAGAUUUCUAGCUAGAGAAAAUCUCUUCCUUCAAAUCAAAUGUGGAUAAAAAAACAGAGGAUGUGAGUAGAGAGUCUUCAUGAAUUUUUGGAUGAUUUGAUAGUUCCUACCAUCACAAUAAGUAGGAAGAAUUUUAAGUAGAAGGCAAUAUCAUUUCAAGGAGACAAGAUGGUGGAGUGAUGAAAUAAUUGUUAACUAUUGGGAUGAUAAAUAUUGUAUGUCUCAGAUUUUGUGUAAUUAUUGUGGAACCCCCCCUCCUCACCCUAUUUUGGUGUUUGUUUUGAGUUAUGGCAGAAUUGGGUGUGA